ACUCACCGCAGCCCAGCAAGGGCUCUGGCAGCUGACGGGGCUUUGUCUGGGACAGCUGCAAACCAGUGUGCCGUGCCAGCCAAGGACAGGGUGGACUGCGGCUACCCCCAGGUCACCCCCAAGGAGUGCAACAACCGGGGCUGCUGCUUUGACUCCAGGAUCCCUGGAGUGCCUUGGUGUUUCAAGCCCCUGCAGGAAGCAGAAUGCACCUUCUGAGGCACCUCCAGCUGCCCCCGGCUGGGGCAUGCGAGGCUCAGAGCACCCUUGCCCGGCUGUGAUUGCUGCCGGGCGCUGUUCAUCUCAGCUUUUCUGUCCCUUUGCUCCCGGCAAGCGCUUCUGCUGAAAGUUCAUGUCUGGAGCCUGAUGUCUUAACGAAUAAAGGUCCCAUGCUCUGCCCGAGGACAGUUCUUCGUGCCUGA
rnacentral:sRNA from 1 species